CCGCGCGUCCCCGGCCCCGUCGGUGAGCGGCUGCCCGUCCCUCCCCCCUUCGGGCCGGCGGGGAAGUUGCAACUGGUUGAGCAGCUCCGAAUGUGCGUGCUUAGGCUUUGGAUACUUGGUUUUUUCUUUUUUUUUUUUUUUUUUUUCCUCUUUUCUUCUAUUUAUUUAUUUAUUUAUUAAUUUUUACUUACCGCAGCCUAAAAAAGCAUGCCUUGGGGCUUCUCCUCCCUACCACAGCCGGGCCGCCCCAGCACAAGCGCAGCCAAUCCCGGCGGGUUGCGAGACGGAGGGAGGAGGAGGAGGGCGAGGGGCAGCCACGCGGGGCCGCGGGCGCGGCAGGUGGGGGAUGGCCCGGGGGGUGGAGGACAGCCGACACCGCCCAGAAGCCGCGCAGCUCCGGCCCCGAGCCGGAGCGUGGCUCGAGCAUCGCUGUAAGAGCCCGCGGCCGCCCCCUCCCGAGCUCUUAGCCGUCCCCUAAAGUUUAUUUUUAGCCCCCGGAAAGCGCUAUAAAGGUCCCGCGGAGCGAGCGGGCCGGGAGACGUGGCACCGCGCUGCCUGCAGCCACUUCUCUGAACUGUUACCUUCAAAAUGAAGAGCAAGACAGAGGUGAGAACAAAGAAAGCCUUGGAAAAAUCCGGUCAUAACAUCUGAGGAAUAGAAAUAAUAGGAAAUACUUAUACAGUCAGAGUUUGGAUGGAAUUUAUGAAAAGUUACAAAGGGCCCUAUUACAUUUGUAUCUAGAUUUGGGAAUUUUAAUUUUACACAUAAUAAAGAUACCAGUGCAUCUUUUCCUCUACUUUGGAUGAUAAUGCAUUCUGCUGUCUUUAGCCUUGCAAAACUUUCUUAUACCAACUAAUGUACGUUCAGCUUAAUUCUUUAGUUGUUAGACCUAAGACACCUUCUCACAUCAAGCUAGAGCAUGAAUAAUAAUAAGCCAUUAAAAACCAUCCUCUCUGUUUGCUGGUCUAUAAAUAUAAAUAUUAGAUCCCUGAAUUUCUAUGUCCCCAGCAGAACAAGUGGGAUUUGAAUAAAAGGUAUAUGUAUAUGCGACCUUAUCACUGCCAAAUGCCAAAAGUACAUAAUAUAGAGCUUAUCUGGACUUCAGGCCUUCGGUGCUGUGUAGGUAGAGGUGAUUCUUGGCAUAACUCCUACCUUUGUAGAAUUAAAACAUCAUAAUUUUUAGAAGAGUUCUUAACCAAUUGUGUAGACAUCAUAAUUGGGCAGUAUUUCUGUGACACUGAUGUAGCACUAAGAGCCCUAAAUCAAAUUUUGUCCAUGAAAACAUACAAAACAGUCAGUGAGCACCAGGCAAUGGGGAGUACUAUGUGAAAAAAGACAGCAGCAAUGAAGUCUAAUCCCAGUGAUAUAUUCCUCUGUUGCCUACACACUCUGUUCUGUUGCCUGCUGAGAAAAACCAAUCUAGAUUGUGUUAUUUACAACUGAUCUUUUUAGGCUAGAACUGUUAAAACAGAAUGCCAAACAACUUGAAAGUUUCUGUAGAAAUACUGUUAGGCAGACAAAAGAGAAAAUAAAUUAAAGCUAAUGAUUAUUUAUCACUGAGAAACACACACGCAAAAAAAAAAGCCUUCUGAGUUUACUUUGCUGGUUUCAAGUACUAAAACGUCCACCUCAAAGUCUGUUUUCUGUCUCAUUAGUCUUAAUUCAUGGCAGUGCAGAGCAAUAGAAGCGUAAGGAGGUGCUCAUUUCAUUCUAGAUUUGAAAGGAAGCCCAACAAGCAGCUCUACAAAGUUGUUUUUUUGUUUGUUUGUUUGUUUGUUUGCUUUUUUGUUGUUGUUUUUUUUUUUUUUUUUUGCACCCUGGCACUUCUGGAUUUAGCAGCUGCUCUGCCUGUCUGCACUCGGGGUCAAACAUUUAAGAGUCAACUAAAUGUGAGGGAUGUUUCCCUACCAAGUGUCAUUCACAAGAGCAGAUGCUGCAGGCUGUGAAUUAGGGACAGGGGAUAGUCUCACAUCAUCUACUGACUGCUAUUAAUAACCCUGUUUACAUCUGAUCCCUGCCCCAAAUCCUUCCCAUAUGGUACUCAAGUACCAAUUUCUUAUGUUUUCCAAAGGUCACCUAUCAUCAGCACCAAGAACAGACCACAGGUCCCCUGACACAGCACUACCACUGUGCAGAAUCUGUGUUGAGCUAAACUCUCUGCAGACAUGCCUUUAGCUUUUAUGCUGUGCUGUCGCAAAGCAGUGCUCAGAACAAAGGAAGCCCAUUUCCUAAGCAGUUGAAAACUUUGCUAGCAAAGUACAGUGCACUUGUUCAUUGCAGGCAGUCCAUUUAAAAAUGUACAGCUAUCUUCUAUGUUGUUCUUCCAUUUAAAUCUGCAUAAAUCAGCCUGCAUCGUAGCUUUGUCAGCUGGCUGAUAUUCAACAAUGAGAGGAAGUAGAAAGCGGCAGAAUUAAUAUCCACUGGCUGAAUGUAGUUCCAGUACCACCUAACACUAGAGUGUUUGACUAAUUGAUUGCCCUUAGCAUUCUGCUAACAACAGAUGUACGGUAUGAGUUAAAUUAGUAAAUUUGUAUUGCUCCUAUUGCUUUCCAUAGCCUGAAACAGUUGUAAUUAUUGAAAUUAUUUAAAUCAGAAACAUUGUAUUCAAAACACUUUAAUUGAUUUUCUUUGUAUUUUUGUUAAUAAAAACUGCUCUAAUAAAAGUACCGUGGGGUAAUGAUUUGUAGUUUCGGCCGCACACUUGAAAACACGAAGGGGAUCGUGCUGAAGAGCAGAACACCUAUCAGAGCCAGCUCCAAGAACUCAGAAUCUGAUUCUCCACAAUCAGAGUUUCAGAAAAUAAGCCUCCUUCCAAAAGGAGUAUGUUCAGACAUACUGGCAAAGAGCAAAAGCUAUUGUUUCUUUGUAGCUACACCAGCUCCACUGAGAUUGCAAUUUUGUUUUGGUCUUUUUUUUUCUACAUAAUGAAACUCGCAGUUCAUAAAAGAUCAGGUUAAGGUAAGGAAACUGAAAUUAGUGUUAACUGUGUUUCUAUCAUCAUGCUUUACAUAAUACCAGAAGAUAUCAAAAGGAGAUCAAAACUAUAAUGUCUACGCAUCCUGAAGUACCUCUUAUCUGUAAAGGACAUCCUCAUUCAGAGCAAACGGUCUUCUCUGCAAAUGAACAUAUUUUCAAACAAUUUUUGUCAAGUGAUCAAU
ensembl:lncRNA